GAUGAACGCUGGCGGCGUGCCUAAUACAUGCAAGUCGAGCGAACAGACGAGGAGCUUGCUCCUCUGACGUUAGCGGCGGACGGGUGAGUAACACGUGGAUAACCUACCUAUAAGACUGGGAUAACUUCGGGAAACCGGAGCUAAUACCGGAUAAUAUAUUGAACCGCAUGGUUCAAUAGUGAAAGACGGUUUUGCUGUCACUUAUAGAUGGAUCCGCGCCGCAUUAGCUAGUUGGUAAGGUAACGGCUUACCAAGGCAACGAUGCGUAGCCGACCUGAGAGGGUGAUCGGCCACACUGGGACUGAGACACGGUCCAGACUCCUACGGGAGGCAGCAGUAGGGAAUCUUCUGCAAUGGGCGAAAGCCUGACGGAGCAACGCCGCGUGAGUGAUGAAGGUCUUCGGAUCGUAAAACUCUGUUAUUAGGGAAGAACAAAUGUGUAAGUAACUAUGCACGUCUUGACGGUACCUAAUCAGAAAGCCACGGCUAACUACGUG
rnacentral:rRNA from 1 species